AGGGUGGUUUUUUAUUUUUCUGGCUCUCGUCUCUGUGUUUGAGUCCUCUGCAAGGAGCUGUACUGUUUGCUUGUCCAUCACGGAUAUGACCUUCUUGUAGCCCAGGGCAUGGGCAUGGACACUUGAAUGAGGCACGAGGGCUUUGGAAGCACCUUGCGACAGCAGAGUACAUCUCCUGCCACGUUCCUGUGGCGCGCCAGGCGUCAGCGGUUCCAGUUCGUGAAAUGCUGGAGAUGCUCGGAGCGCAAGAGGAGCUGGGAGCGUGAUGCAUCAAAUUGGUAUGUUAGCUACGUGACCUUGGCUCAGCACAGUAAAUGGAAGCGCUAAGCCUGGAUCGGGAAGGUGAAGAGGAGCCUUAUGCCGGAAGCAAUGUCCUGGCUAGCCUUUGUGUUCCUUGAUGAGGAUGGAACCUGCCUCCCAUCAUUCCCAAGCUAAGU